rnacentral:lncRNA from 1 species
AUGUUAAGCUUCCAUGCUCUCCUGCCCAAGGCUGUUAGCAAGGCAGAUUCCUCGUACUCCCAUGGUGACGAUGAUGAUGGCAGCCAUCACUGUGGCCAUUCUACAGGUGGAGAAACAAGGACUCAGAGAAGCUUACCCGGAUUUCCCAAGGGAGACCCAGAUCCUGCUUCUGCUGGCCUCCUCCUGGAAAAUGAUCAUUUGACAAAUAGAAAUCUCCAAAUUGCUUUGAUUUGGUGUGUUUCCUCAGAACUCUGGAACAGAUAUUGAUGGUUUCCUCUGGAAGAAGAGAAAAGUGAGAAAUCAGCUCACUUUAAGAUAAAUUAAGUCUUUAAGCUUGGUGUGAAAAAUGACACCCGGGACACAUACCCAGCCGGGAAUUUGUGAUGGCACAGGCCCGUGCUGACUGCCUUGAGAGCAAGCAAAAUGUUAUCAGGAAGACAGAGAUGCAUCUGUGCCCAGUCUGUUCAGAAUUUUAAGCACCAAUGUCAAUUGCACUUCAGACUGAUAAAGAGAAUAAUCCUCAUCAGUUUGUCAUUGGCCCUUGUCUCUGGGUUAUUCCUCCAGGGGUCUGUGGCAACCUCGGAUGGUGUAUUAGUCAGGUCCUCAACAGAAGCAGAACCAAUAGGAUGCAUGUGUAUAUUACAUUAUUACCUCUCCAUAGAUGGAUGGAUGGAUAGAUAGAUAAUAUAUCCCUAUAUCUACAUAUCCAUCUAGAGAGAGAUUUACCUUAAGAAAUUGGCUCACAGGGUUGUGGGGCUGCUAAGUCCAAAAGCUGCAGGGCAGGCUGGCUGGCUGGAGACCGAGGGAAGAGCUGAUGCUGCAGAUCAAGUCUGAAGCCAGAGAAGGUUGGCAGAAUUCUUCGUCCUCGGGGGACCUCAGUCUUUUUUCUUCUAAGACCUUCAACUGACUGGAUGAGGUCCAUGCCUGUUAUGGAGGGUAAUCUGCUUUACUCAAAUCCUACUGAUGUAAAUGUUAACCUCAUGUAAAAAAUACCUUCAAAGCAACAUCUAGUUUGG